ensembl:lncRNA
CUGCGCCUGGUCUGGCCCAUUAUCCCUGGGCUGCAGGGGGCACUGAGAGGGAGCAGGGGGUUGGAGGCCUGGGAUGCAGGCAGUCAGGGGGCCCUUCUCAGUGAGCCGGGUCCGCGUCCUGCUGUCACCAUCCUGAAAUUCUGAAGAAUGGUGACAAAGGACCCCACAGGGUUGCCUCUGGCUCUGAGCCCUUCAGGGAGCAGCCCUGGUGGUGCUGCCCAGAUUGCUGUCUGGGAGGUCACUUCUGGGAGCAGUUCUGUGUGUGUGUGUGUGUGUGUGUGUGUGUGUGUGUGUGUGUGUGUGUGUGUGUGCUUGCCUGCAUUCCUUUGUGUGUGUGUGUGUAGGAGUGUGUGUGCUUUUGUGUGUGACUGCAUGUGUGAAUGUGUGCUACUGUGUGUGUGUGUAUUGCGUGUGCCUUUGUGCGAGUGUGUGCUUUUGUCUGUGUGACUGCUUGUGCAUGCGAGUGUGUGAUUGUGUGGCUCUGUGAGUGUGUGUUUCUGUGCCUUCAGGUGUGCAUGUGGGUGCAGCAGCGUGAGGAGCAGAGGGUUGGGGGUCAGGGGUGCUGGACUAGCAAUCAGCUUGCACAUGCCUGGAGCAGCUGGAAGUGGGGGGCGGCGUGGAGGAGGAGGCAGACACCCAAGCGGACCCUUCCUGCACCAGGGAACAUGGGCGGUGCUUUCCUGGAACCUGAAAACGUGCCCCCAGGGGCCCGGCUCAGCCCGGAAGCCUGCCACGCUUCAGUGACUGUUACUCCAAGCUCCCCCCGUGCCAGUGCCCACCUGGGGUGUGAGGGGGACCAGAUGCUCCAGGGCAGGCACUCUGGGCCAUGGGACGAAGGGACCGGGGAAUGGUCACUGCGGGAUGACCCAGGGCUGAGCGGCCAGGAGGGCAACUUGGUCAGCUGAUGGUUCCCACGGGCUGGCAUGGUUUUAGCCCUGUUGCAUGUGGCACUGGGCUGACAAGACAGGACCAUGGUGAUUCAGUGUGAUUCUGGUGCAGCAUCUCUGGCACCAGAGGGGCCUAAGGCGGAGCCUCCUGGGGCGUCCACAGGGCCCUGCCUGCCUCUCUGGGUGAGACCUGGCUGGGGGAGGCCCUGGCUGAGGAGCACUGUCUCUGGCACCGCCUCGGAGAGGAAAGGACAGUGCCUGUUUCUCUCCUGGCAGCUGUCACCGGCCCCUCGGAAGAUAUCCCAAUGCGGUUUUGCUCAAAUAUGGGUCGAGAUGCACCAGCGUGUGGACACCUUCCUGCAAAAUCUCUUUGAGGACAACAUGCAGGUGGCUGGGCAUCACCCACUCCUGUCCCCUCCUGGCUGGGGCAAGGACGGACUCAGUGAGGAGCUGCUUGGAGCUUUCGAUACUCAGCUGGAGAACGACGACGACUCGGUGAGUUUGAGCUGCUGUCUCAGCCCCUUGUCCCCCGCACACUCUUUCUCACUGUCGGUGCUGCCAUGUGUGGACAGGGCUCCCCUGAGCAAGGAUGCAGUGAUGGCCCCAGAGACCUUGGGAGGUGCAGCUUUGCUGGCACUGGGCUGUGCACACAUGUGGGGAGAACGAGUGUGUGUGUGUGUGUGUGUAAAGUGUGCACCAUGUCUGGGGAACUGGCUGGAUCACCGAAGCUUAAGUGUCACUGGAGUUCUUGUUGCGGCCCAAUAAUAACGAACCCAACUAGGACCCAUGAGGACGUGGGUUCGAUCCCUGGCCUCAAUCAGUGGCUUAAGGAUCUGGGGUUGCCAUGAGCUGAAGUGGAGGUCUCAGACACAGCUCGGAUCUGAGGUUGCUGUGGCUGUGGUGUAGGCCAGCACUUGCAGCUCCAGUUGGAGCCCUAGCCUGGGAACCUCCACCCAUAUGCCCUAGGUGUGGCCCUAAGAAGAUUUUUAAAAAGUGGAGUUCCCGUCGUGGCGCAGUGGAAAUGAAUCUGACUAGGAACCGUGAGGUUGCGGGUUUGCUCCCUGGCCUUGCUCAGUGUGUUAAGAAUCCCACGCUGCUGUGAGCUGUGGUGUAGGUUUCAGAUGUGGCUCAGAUACAGCCACCGUGUUACUGUGGCUGUGGUGUAGGCUGGCAGCUACACCACAGGGAAAAAAAAAGGCUUUGGUAUCACCGCUUUUUUUAUUGUCUUUUUGUCUUUUUAGGGCCGCACCUGCAGCAUAUAAAGGUUCCCAGGCUAGGGGUCUAAUCGGAGCUACAGCCUUGGGCCUACACCACAGGCAAGGCAACGCCAGGUCCUUAAACCACUAAGCGAGGCCAGGAAUCAAACCCGCAUCCUCAUGGAUGUAACCGCCGAGCCACAACGGGAAUUCCUUGUGUCAUUGUUAUCUGCACACACGGUCCCAUGUAACCUGGAUGCUCUGAGGACCAAAAUAUGAAGCAGCGCCUCCCCGUGUAUUGGGUUGCGGGGCAGGGGGUAGUGUCAAGAGAGGCCCGGAUUCUGCUGGUGAAGCUGAGUGAGUUCUGGUUCACCUGGGACCCAGGAGGGAGGGGACCAGGCCUCUCUGUCUCUUGGGAAUCAGACUGAAGGGGAGAGAGGGCAGGGCUUUUUAACCACGUCCUGUUUCCCAGCAGGUGGAGUUAGCCCUGAUGAAGCUGGAGGUGAGUCUGGGCCUCGCCCCUUCCCCAAAGGUUGGCGCCCAGGGUUAGCAUCAGCCAGGGUAUUGGGUCUGGGCUCCUGGCGCCCUUUGGCCUCACCUGGACCCCUGGGGGGCCACAGAGCUCAGUGACAGGGGCAGGAGAGCAGCCUCCAUGCUCCUCUCCCCAGGACGGACUCAGUGAGGACCUGCUUGGAGCUUUCGAUGCUCAGCUGGAGAACGACGACUCGGUGAGUUUGAGCUGCUGUCUCAGACCCUCCCCCCUCCCCAUUGUGUUGGUGCUGCCACGUGCGGACAGAGCUCCCCUGCGUCCUGGAGCCCUGCCCUCAAUUCCAUGACGCUGCACCCAGGCGGGCCUGCUGCUGGGCUCGGAGGUCAGGUGGGCGACAGGCAGGUAUACCCCACCUUCGUGGUUUAUGACUUGGAGGGGAACUGAGCGGCCAGGCCCAGCCCCUGGGAAAAGUCCUGGGGUCUGUGGGGCUGUUGGCAGGAAAGCAGCCUGUGUCCAAGGCGGGGCAUGAGGGGGGUGUCUGCCACCAGGACUCUCCCAAAGGCAGGGCCUCAGCCAAGGUCAGGACUGGGGCUGCCUCUCCCCAGGCGGGUCCCUGAACCACCCCCCAUCCCUGCAGAAUCCAGUCCUCUGCUCAACGAAGUCCGGCAGGGAGUCCGUUCUAGAGUCCGAAGGCCUCCUGGCCACAACCAGCCACAUUAUGCGCUAGCGGUCCGGGAGCCCAGGCAGAGCACUUUCAGACGCAUCCUUGAGCUGUUUGAGGAAAUGCUGAAGCGCCUGCAGCAGAGGUGGAGGGGUGCCCUGGCUUGGGUGCAGGAAAGGGCUGCUGCCUGCUUCCGGGGCUUGUGCAGGGCCCUUGAAGCUUUCUGGAGCCUGGUGCAGAGUUUUUGCUCCUCCAUGGGGCACGCCUUCGGGAGUGUCAUCCAGGUCUAAGGUGCUCCAGGUGAAAUAAGAGUUUCUAGAGCACAACCUCCCCCUGCCUUGGCUAAAAAGGCAGCUGUAAGCCUUUCCAGCUGUGCUCACCUCAUACCACCCUUCUUGUAAUAAUGUAGCAGCUGGGGAGUUCCCGUCGUGGCGCAGUGGUUAACGAAUCCGACUAGGAACCGUGAGGUUGCAGGUUCGGUCCCUGCCCUUGCUCAGUGGGUUAACGAUCCGGCGUUGCUGUGAGCUGUGGUGUAAGUUGCAGACGUGGCUCGGAUCCCGCGUUGCUGUGUCUCUGGAGUAGGCCGGUGGCUACAGCUCCGAUUCAACCCCUAGCCUGGGAACCUCCACAUGCCGCGGGAGAGGCCCAAGAAAUAGCAACAACAACAACAAAGACAAAAGACAAAAAAAAAAAAAAAAAAAAGUAGCAGCUGGGUGCCCUCUGCCCAAGCCAGCAGCCCUGCUAAUGGUGUACCCAGCAUUUCUUAUCCGUUCCGCUUCUGUCACCUCACUUGCUCAGACAGGGAGGAAUACUGUGCUGGGGGAAGGGGGAAGGUCCGGGAUGCUUACCUGGAAAGAUAAGACCUUGACAUGUGUAAAAGCUGCCGAGAACAAAGACCUGGUACUCAGACUCUGGAGGUGGCUCCUCCGAGCCUGCACCGGUGCUGAAUAAAGCUUGCCUUUCCAUAUCUCCGAGUGCCGUU